rnacentral:tRNA from 1 species
GUAAAUAUAGCUUAACWGUUAAAGCAUUAGAUUGUGAGUCUAAAGUUAGAGAUUUAAUACCUCUUAUUUACC